UCGACGGAGCUGUUUUCUCUGAAGUUUUCGGAUGGAAGAGAGUUCAGCUUAGUGGCGAACGGGUGAGUAACACGUGAGCAACCUGCCUUUCAGUGGGGGACAACAUUUGGAAACGAAUGCUAAUACCGCAUAAGACCACAGUGUCGCAUGGCACAGGGGUCAAAGGAUUUAUCCGCUGAAAGAUGGGCUCGCGUCCGAUUAGCUAGAUGGUGAGGUAACGGCCCACCAUGGCGACGAUCGGUAGCCGGACUGAGAGGUUGAACGGCCACAUUGGGACUGAGACACGGCCCAGACUCCUACGGGAGGCAGCAGUGGGGAAUAUUGCACAAUGGGGGAAACCCUGAUGCAGCGACGCCGCGUGGAGGAAGAAGGUCUUCGGAUUGUAAACUCCUGUCCCAGGGGACGAUAAUGACGGUACCCUGGGAGGAAGCACCGGCUAACUACGUGCCAGCAGCCGCGGUAAAACGUAGGGUGCAAGCGUUGUCCGGAAUUACUGGGUGUAAAGGGAGCGCAGGCGGAUUGGCAAGUUGGGAGUGAAAUCUAUGGGCUCAACCCAUAAAUUGCUUUCAAAACUGUCAGUCUUGAGUGGUGUAGAGGUAGGCGGAAUUCCCGGUGUAGCGGUGGAAUGCGUAGAUAUCGGGAGGAACACCAGUGGCGAAGGCGGCCUACUGGGCACUAACUGACGCUGAGGCUCGAAAGCAUGGGUAGCAAACAGGAUUAGAUACCCUGGUAGUCCAUGCCGUAAACGAUGAUUACUAGGUGUGGGAGGAUUGACCCCUUCCGUGCCGCAGUUAACACAAUAAGUAAUCCA
rnacentral:rRNA from 1 species